GCAUACGCACAUACACACAGUGGCCCCCUCUUUUCGUCUGUCCGUCGCUUUCUAUCCGUUAUCGUGCCUGUGUGUGUGUGUGUGUGUGUGUGCUCACUGACAGGCUUCCACGCCUGCAAGUGUCGCGCCGUUCUCCCUCACUCCCGUCCUCGACGUCCCUUCCGCAUUGGGCGCGAAGAGAGCGAGAGGGAAGGCGCACGCUGGAUGGGCUCUUUGCGCGGCCACCGUGCUCAUUGACGCCUUUUCAGCGCGGUGGCUGCUCUGCUGUGCAUGCGCCUUCUCUCACACGUCGCGAGGGUGAACGAGUGGUUGAGUGGUCUGGUUGGUGUUCGUAAGCAGGGCGAGCUGGUCGAAAGGCAGGGAGACGAGCUUGGCACUCGUGUGCGGUGCCCACACACGCACGCACACCCGCUCUCGCUCUCGCACUCUCCGAUUUUUCUUCGCCCCGCACCUUUCUGUGUUUUCCUUCCGUAAUAGCCGCCGCUCGGCCCUUGUCGUCUGGGGCUGACUUCUCACAGCGGCUGCACCCUCGCUUCACCUAUUCUCUGUGCGUGUGUGUGUGUGUGUGUGUGCGUGCGCCUUCAUCGCCGCUCACCCGUCUCCACUGUCGCCGGCAACGCCGCCCUCCGUCGCCCACAGACCCAUUCACUUCUCGCUCAGUAAUGCUGCAGGAGUACACGGGGGGAACGUGCGUCUCCUACCGCGUCAACCCGCAGCGAGGGGGCUGUGUGGAGACUGUUGCGGUGGUAGAUGCGCAGGACUUCUUCGGAGAGCAUGGCGGUUUGGUCACCUCUCCGACUACGCCGAGCACGCCGACGGGGCCGACAUCAGCGCGGCAAGCGCGUCGUCGCGUGGUGACCGCCCUCGAGCGCAUCUUACUACCGGACGGCUACCCGAGUAGCGUCACGGAGGACCUGCUGCCGUUCGCCCUCUGGGAUCUCGCUCAGGUGUUGGCGAAGAACGUGACGGCGACACUGAGCACGCGAGCGGUGCUCCUUGGCGUUGGCGUGGGCGAAUCGAAGGCCGAUCUCACCAGCUCCACGCUUUCCUGGAUGAUGCAAGACGGCACGCGGAUGAUCGGCAGUAUCGUGUUCGCCUCCCUCAUCCCUCAAGGUCUUGAGUGCCGGGCAAAGACGUGGCAGCUGGUGGCCGACUUCACCACUGACAUUGCCAACCUGCUCGAGUUGUGUGCUCCAUGGCUGCCAGGCUGUCAGACUAUUUUCCGUGUGGUGUUGGUUGCCGCAUCUGCCAUCAAGGCGCUCGGCGGCGUGUGCGACAGCGGCACGCGCGCGUCUUUCACUCAGCACUUCGCGCUCCGCAACAACGCCGCAGACAUCGCUGCCAAAGCCGCCACACGCAGCAGCGUCGGCAGUUUCAUCGGCCUCGCCUUGGGCACAGCCGUCGCCUACAGCGUCCCUGCCACGUCGAGGAGUCUCAAUUUGGCUGCCUUCGCGCUCUGCAGUGCUUUCCGCAUCUUUGCCCACUACCGCGGCGUGCGUGGGGUGCAGCUGAGGCACCUGAACGCCCCUCGCCUCGAGUGGUGCCUGGAGCAGUACUCCCUCUUCAAGGCAAAGGUGCUCAUCGCGUCCAGGAAGGACUCAGGACCGCUGUCGGUGAUGCCGAUCCUCGACGUGUCCCCGCGUAGCGCCAACGCCGCGGAGCGCCUGCUCAUCCUGCCGUCGCUCCGCGCCGUGCCGCCACCGAGCGGCAGUUUCUACGACAGCGUCUACCGCUUUCUCCGCCGGUACUGUUUUCCUGCCACGCUCACGCUGCGCAUCCACUUCGGGGCGUCAUUCUUUCGUGUGCUGCAGCAUCAGAACGGUCUGACGACACGGCGCAAGCACGAACUGGUGCAGCAGGUCGAGUCGGCACUAGCGUCCCGCGGCAUUGCCCUGCUCGUCGACGAUGUGGACAUGACUUACUACGUGAUCUUACCCGAGUACUUCACUGUGGAGGGGGUGCCGGAGAUCUGGGUGCCGCACAAGCGGCAGCACGAGGCUGGCCUGACGUGCAUGGAGGCAAAGCAGCGACAGUCGGCAGCGGCACAUGCAGCGCAGCGGAAACAGGACGGUGCGGCGUCACUAUCACCUUCUGGGGCAGUAACUGCUGCUCCUGAUGUGGGGCGCGGCUUGGAUGAGGCGGGCAGGCGAGCCGCUCAGGUGGAGGCAGAGCUUGAGCGACUGCAAAAGGAGCGCGUCGUCUUUCCGCCGCACAUUUUACCACUCGCCUACCGGCAGCUGUGGGCGUACUUUUACGCCUUCAUGCACUACCGAGCCGUGCGCUUGCGCCGCGAAGGGCUGCUGACUCACACCAAAGGCGUCCUCGAAGACUUGCAUAAGAAUCGGUCGCUUGAGUGCCGGCGACUUCACAUCAUCACCGCCUUGCGCGCCGAUGGAACGCUGGAGGCGGACCACAGUGACGCCAGCGACGCAUCGCACUCACCGGCUCAGUUCGAGGAACUUACGUCGCCGACGUCAAUCACGUCUGAUGUGCCCCUCACGAGAGGGGUCGUUCCGGCCUUGGCAAGGCGUGCGGGCGGCGAUGACGGUGACAACACCGCCGCCCCAUCGCACGACGGGCUGCACCCGCAUUUCAUCGAGUUUGUGCGUGCGCUGCGAAUGACUGGCUGGGAGCUUGACGAGUUGCUAGUCAGCAAUGAGGGCUACACCACGGUUGUGAAUUAUUUGUAGCUUACUCCCUACUUCCUGGAGGAGGCAAUACCUCCUCGAACGUGCGCCCACGGACUAGAGAAGCAGCCGCACAAGGCUGGGGGGGUCGGAGCGAGGGGGCGGACAAGCAGCGUUGGCGAUGGUCACCAUACGACCCCGCGACUCCACCACCCCCUUUUCUCGCCCUGUUACGUCUCUAGCGCGCGCAGACGCAUACAAAUGCGUCAUCCAUCACGCUGGACGCGAGACUUCAAACGAGAAAUUGCCUCCCUCUCCCUUUCAAG
rnacentral:misc_RNA from 1 species